rnacentral:tRNA from 1 species
GGGCGGUUAGUUAAGUGGUAUAACUUCUCUCUCCAAAAGAGCGAUCGGGGGUCCGAUUCCCUCACCGCCCGCCA